GAAUUGCUGCACUUUUAGAACGUUUUGUCCAGAAGUGACAUUCAAGCAUUUCAAAUGGUUUUCAGAAAUUUAACAUACAUGUAAAUACUUCAUCGGCAAAAGAAAAGGACACAAGUUUACAUCAAAGAUUGCUUGUGAGGGUGUUACCGGUCGACAGGGGAUGCUUACUCCUCCUAGGCACCUGAUCCAACAUCUGGUGAACCCGGGGGUACUUGUACAUGACGUCUGCAAUUUGAUACCCGCUUCCAGGCUGCCAUCUUGCUUGCACUCGGAAAUCCUUGGAUACUAGGCUAGCGUGUUAGCGGGAGAUCUAGUAACGGAUGGAUGAACAGAAUUACUACUAUGUUCCAACUACUUAUAUAUCAUACUGUGACUACCCCAUCUCUCAGCAAAUUACAUGUACAUACUGCACAAAUUAUUAUCAUCUGGAAAUUCGCAAGGUUUUUCUUUAAGCAAAAUUGAAAAAGCGGACGUAUAAUUUUGUCUUCUUUGAAUAUUAAUUGAAUCGAAUAUGCAUGUAUUGAAUAUUGGUAUUCUUAACACUUCACUCAAUGUACAAUGUACAUACAUGAACAGUACAUGGUCUUCCUCUAUUUUAUUGUUUGUGUGAGACGUGCAGUUGUGCGUUUUUAUUCACCACAGUCUAAUACGACACCUUUGAUACAGACAUCCCGGAUACAAGACAACAGCAAAUCUAAAAAAUAAUAAUAAUAAUAAUAAUUAGCAAUGUCAUUAUGACCUUAACUAAUUAAUAAUGUUUUAUCACAAGUGUUGUUUGUUGGCACCUCGAAGUGGUCAAGGCUUCUGUCAACAUGGCAACAAUAUCGUAAGAAUCAUUACGGAGAUACCGUGGAAUUCAUUUAUCAAAACAGUUUCCCAAAUUCAAGAUAAAAGGCUGACUGUGAUUGGAUGAUGGACAAGAAAUCCUCAAUGUGACAGGGACGAUAUAUUACCACUCACAGAAUUCCCUCCGGUUUGAUUGCAGAUCAGAAGAAACUGGUUUCAAGUGUAUGACUAG